rnacentral:rRNA from 1 species
CAGUAGCCGCGGUAAUACCAGCAGCCCAAGUGGUGGUCGCGUUUAUUGGGCCUAAAGCGCUCGUAGCCUGGCCGGUAAGUUCCCCGUGAAAUCGGGUCGCCCAACGAUUCGGCUUGCGGGGAAUACUGUCGGUCUUGGGGCCGGGAGACGCCGAGGGUACUCCGGGGGUAGCGGUGAGAUGCUGUAAUCCUCGGGGGACUACCAGUGGCGAAGGCGCUCGGCGAUAACGGGCCUGACGGUGAGGGGCGAAAGCUGGGGGCGCGAACGGGAUUAGAGACCCCCGUAGUUCCUGUCUCUUAUA